rnacentral:lncRNA from 1 species
GUACAGUAGAAGCCUAGACAUUGUCUACUCAGAAGUCAAAACCACUGGGCUUUACUCCCAGGUAAAGUAAGUUUCAGCCCCAGUUGCUUUGGGGGAGGGGAGAAAGGAAAUGUGGGGGAUGCAAGUGAUUUGAGCACAUGCUGUGAUGUGGGAACUGAAUGCCUGCGGAUGUGGGUUGAACUUUCAGCUCGCGUGACAACCUUAUUGUAGCUCGAGGUGAGGACUUAAAAGGGGAGGGUUAAGCAUGCAAACGCCAUCAAACAUCCCCUCGCACAUGGACUGCUCUUCAGAUCUUGAGUAAGUUUAGAAGCCUCCCUUUGGCUGCACAUUCAUUUUAAAAGCGUAUGACUUUCUCCAAAGGAUUCUGGGAACUGUAGUUUACCCCUCACUGAGCUACAAUUCCCGGGAUUCUCUGGGGGAAGUCGUCUGCUUUAAAUGUGUGGUGGGUAGGCUUUACAUGUUCAGCAGAACGUGCGUAGAAACCCCCUCCCUCCCUUUGUCUAAACAUGCAACAGUUUAAAGAUACGCAAGGAUAUUGGAAGUUGUAUUUGCAUGCACAACCCCCCUCCAUCUUCCUUUAAGUCAGGGUUUCCCAAACUUGGAUCUCCUGCUGAUUUUUUGGACUACAGUUCCCAUCACUCCUGACCACUGGUCCUGCUAGUUAGGGAUGGUGGGAGUUGUGGUCCCACCCCCCCAAAAAAGGAAACCAACAACGCACCAGCUGGAGACCUAAGUUUGGGAAACACUGCUGUAAACCAGGCUUCCUCAAACUCGGCCCUCCAGGUGUUUUUGGCCUACAACUCCCAUGAUCCCUAGCUAGCAGGGCCAGUGGUCAGGGAUGAUGGGAAUUGUAGUCUCAAAACAUCUGGAGGGUCGAGUUUGAGGAAGCCUGCUGUAGACAAAAGUAUCUGACAGUUGUUUCAUAAUUCCCAGGUUUCCCCACCACCCUUCUUUUUGCAUCCAAGCCCCACAAAUUCUAAGCCUAACUCUGGCUUCAGAUUUAGGAUGCUCACCUCUUUAAAAUGACUGAUCUUUAGGGCUCCUCCGUGACAAGUAUUUUAUAGUGCAAGAAAUGGCAGUUCUAUUUCCACCACGCCAGGGCACACAGAGGACAGCAGUUCCAUAUCUGCUCAGACCAGAGGUGCCUCAAAGGCAACUGACUUGUUGGAAUUUGCCCUGCAUGUCAGAAUUUCAUCUUCUGGUUGGUGAAUGGCAUAGGGAGUUACGCUGAACUUUGGGUUAUGGUUUCCAUUCUUCAGAUCCCAAUAAUGAAACUUAUCCAGAUCAGUGACUGACUGAGUUCUUCUUGGCUAAUCUAACCUACUCACUCUACCCUUCCCUUUAAGCUGGAGCAGGUAGACCAGGAGAAUCAAAACUCCCAAGUCCAUUUGGGGUGCCACCAUUUUAUUUAGACCUGAGCUGAAAAUUCUAUAAAACACAAUUUCCUGACAAAUUUUUGAAUUUCUUUUCUGAGAUCUUCAAAAACUCACAAAUAAUUUCAAAUAAUGUUUAGCAAAACAGCAUCACCAAUAUCACCAGUUAUGUGAAUUUUGGAUGCAAUUUUGGAUCCAGUUUUAAUACCGGUCCUGAAAGACCUACAUUGGCUCCCAGUACGUUUCUGAGCACAAGUCAAAGCAUUGGUGCUGACCUUUAAAGCCCUAAACAGCCUCAGCCCAGUAUACCUGAAGGAGCGUCUCCACCCCUGUUGUUCAGCCCGCACACUGAGGUCCAGCUCCGAGGGCCUUCUGGUGGUUCCGUCACUGUGAGAUGUGAGGUUACAAGGAACCAGGCAGAGGGCCUUCUUGGUGGUGGCGCCUGCCCUGUGGAAUGCCCCCCCCAUCAGAUGUCAAGGAAAUAAACAACUAUCUGACUUUUAGAAGACAUCUGAAGGCAGCCCUGUUCAGGGAAGUUUUUAAUGUGUGAUGUUUUAUUCUGUUUUUAAUCUGUUGGCAGCCACCCAGAGUAGCUGGGGAUACCCAGCCAGAUGGACGCGGUAUAAAUAAAUGAUGAUGAUGAUUACUGUUUAAUUAUAAAAUUAAUAUUUUUGAAGGAAGUAAUGGACUUUACUCCUACUUCUUCCAGUCUUCCUCUCUUAGCCAGUUGGUUCCAAAAGUCUGUUUAAAAACACCAUCUGUAAUAUUUGGCAAAAUACACUCCCAAUUUGCUGUGCACAGAAAGUGUAGAGAAUUUUAGGAGGCCCUUUAAAAUCAGGGUGGAAUUAAUUGUUUCCCCUUCUGUGGCUUGUAAGAGCAGCCAACUGAAACACAUUCUCUUAGCAAGUAACUUUUUAUUUGGCAUGGAGGUAAGUGAUGAGAAAAGCUUUACCAUCCAAUUUCCUUGAUAUGAGAUGGCUGCUAGGAGUGCAAAAGCAACCCCACCCCUGGUAGCCCAAAUUUAUUUCUUAAGAAAAUUGUGGAUUGGGAAGAAAUUGCUACUGUGAAUAAAUGAGACUGAAAUAACUGCUUUUUCAUGAGUUGGCCACUGGCUGGCAGCAGAGAGAGUUAUAUGGAAAUAAAACCUGAUUUUGCAUAGAGGGGUUUUAUAGUGUAUGACCACAUCUGUUGAAACUGAUUUAAAAAUGUUUAGCAAUAGUUACUCCUAAGGUAUGAGGGCCUUCUGAAAUAGAAAAUCAGAAACAAGGUUAUAUAAAUAAAGAAUCUUGGGGUACCAUAAAGACUAACAAUUUUAUUUAGCCUCCCUUGGCUAGUGUUUAUUUAUUUUAUUGAUUUAUUUAUAGAAAUAUUUAUAUACCACUGUGUCCUAAAAAUAAUGACAAUGAAACGCCAAAAGUGCACACUGAAAAUCUCAGUUUAAGUUUAAGUGUAUGUGAAAUAAGCACAGUGACUAUUUAUAACACAAUCAUCCUGGCAUUGCUAAGUUAAUGAACAACAGUUGGGCAUAUAAAUUUAAUUGUUCUUGAAUUUAUAAAGAUCAAAAGCAGCACACACCAACUCUGCAUGUCCAAGUGGACUUUGAUAGGAUUGCCAACUUUUCAUCCAGCUUCUUCUAUAGCCUUCCUUUAACAGCAACUUGAUAUGGAGGAAAAAUGACCGUAAUCACCUGCCAAUUGAUGCAACUCAAACCACUGUUAGAAGACAGCUGAAAAUUUUAUAACCCUCUGUUUUGACAUAGUGGUCAACCUGUGGUCCUCCAGAUUGCAGAGUUGGAAGGGACCCCAAGGGUUAUCUAGCCCAACCUCCUGCAGUGCAGGAAUCCUGCUCACAGCCAUCCCUGGGUGGGCUUGAACCACCAGCCUUCUGGUUAACAGCCAGAUGCACUGACCCAUGGCACCACAGAUGUUGCUGGACUCCAGCUCCCAUCAGACCCAGCCACCAUGACCAAUGGUCAGAGAUAAGGGGGGGGGUUGUAAGCAGCAUCUGGAGGACUAUAGGCUCCUUGCCUCAGUCCAAUUGUUUCUUAAACAGCUAGUUUCCAUUUGGGUGUAAGCAAGCACCUUUUAUGCAUUCCCUUAUAAGAUAGCAUUAUAUCUGGUUAUUCAGCACAUAACAUCCAGUGCCCACCAUCUGUCACCGUGCAAUACAGCUAACCAAUUCUGAAGGAGAGAGUUAUUUCUAAAAGCAGGUGUGCAUCAUGGUCUGCAAUGAAAAUGAAGUAAGGGUCAUAAAUUCCAGUAGGCGUACAAAAAGCCAAUAGACAUGCCUGAUGUAGCUGUCUGGCUCCUGGACAUAUGCAUUUGUGUGUAGAAGUAUAUAUAAGUAUGCAGGGGCUGUUAUAUUUCAUCUGUAAGCUACAGUAUCCAGCCAUUGACUGAAUUGCUGUGAUGUCAUAGAAUGUUUAUCUUUUACUGCCGGGGGGGGAGGGGAGCCGGUCACAGAAUAUUUGACCAAAAGUGCAGCUGCUGUGCAAGGAAGCAAGUGACAGGGGAGGUGGGGGUGAGGCUUAUAGGAGCACAGGGACUGCAGGAGCUGCUGUUGUGGGGAAGCUUGACAAGAGGAUAAAGUGGGCAUCAUAUUGAGAAAGGGUAAGGGCAGGAGGAGCUGCGUCUUCUGGCCAAAAAAGGAGGUGGAAUGGCUGAAGAAGGCCCAUGGAUAGAUAGGCUUGCCAAUUCUUCAACUGGCCUCUCUAUAGCUAUAUUGUUAUGGUUAAUAAGCUAUAUUGUAGCUUAUUAUUAUGGUAGCUAUAUUGUUAUGGUUAAUAGGCAGGUGUUAGCAGGUAAAACUUCACAGCCUAGAACUGAAUAUUAUGCACUCAGCGAGUGUAUGGAGGAGUAGCUUGUCUGCUAGCUAGGAGUCAAGGCUCUCCCUCCCAUUAGAAUUACCUUCUUUUUAAUGAAUUGAGUGACAAGAGAGUGCAUAGUGCAGACUGGGUAUGCCUGAGCAGGGCAAAAGCAGAAUCAUCAUGUUAAUCAGCAGUGCUGCGCAUACUAAUAGGAUAUUGAGUACCUAGAUUUAGUAACUGUAUUCUGAUUUCUGAAAGGGAAACUCGCAGUAACAUGAUGACAACUGGCAUUUAACAUGUCAGAGUAAAUGAAGCCUUCAGAGAUUCACUCUGGCAUGGUCAGUCACAGCUCCUUGCAGUAUGAAGACAUAUUCAGACAAACUGCACAAUCACCAUUUACAGUGAUUUAAGCAUGGCUGAGGCAGGAGGCAGACAGAUGGUUUUUAAGAGCAUGGGUUAAGAGAGGUACUUCUUCCUAUGUGCAUUUCUUUUUGUCUUACAAUCCUUUCUGAUUAAAAAAAAAGGUUUUUGAAAUAAAACCAAAGCAAAAAAACCCUCAUUUAUUUAUUUUUAGCAGUGAAUGUGGGAUAGGUGCAUAAUACCAUUAGAUUGAUCCUAAUGAGUUAAGAACCUAUGAAAAACCCUACUGGAUCAGAUUAGGAGCAUCUAGUCCAGCGUUUUUGCAGCCAGAUGUCUCCAAAAAGACCAAGCGUAGUUCAUGAAGGCAUCAGUCCUUCCGUUCUUUGUCCCCGGCAUCUGAGGCUCAGAGAUACACUUUCCCUGAACGCAGAGGUUCCAUUUAGCUAUUGUUCCUUAUCGUUGUGAGUUGCCAUUCAGUAGCUUGCACUGAAUGGGUUCAUCCAAGACCUGCAACAAGUUCCUUGCCAUUUAUUUAUAAGGAAGUAUAAAGGGCAUAAAUAAUAAAAUCAACCAGAGUUCAUACUCUGUGGUGUUAAUUGCACCAGGGUUAUAUGGUCUUGUAUAUGGGGCUUUGGUAUGACAGGCAGGUGUUUACAGGGCUGCAAAUCAUUUCUGACACCUGCUGUUAAAACAAAUAUACGCCUUUGAAGAAUACCAAAAACAAACACAAGCAUUUCUUGAGAAAAGUUGGGGGAGCACCGAUUAUUUAUUUUCUAUAAUUUUUAUAUUCUUGCCCAAUAAUAUUCUCUGGGUAGCCUGCAAUUUCAAUACAAUAUAAAAAUACAGCUAAGCAUAAGAGAGAGAGAAGGUUUCAACUUAAGCAUGAAACCGUUGGUGGUGGAAACAGAAUAAAAUUAUGUUUAUGGAAAUAGUCUCAAUUAUAUAUAUAAUUAGGAUUUGCUUUUUAAAAAGGCCAUAAUGCAGGAUCAUCCAGGAAAAACACCUUAACCCCUAUUUACUUCAGUAAUAGACCACAAAUUCCACACUUUUUUGCCUAAUUUCUUGCUUUAUAGCAGGUGAUUGUGCUUCUCUCCAUGGCAUCUAAAGCUUCCAAUUUCUGCAGAUCAAGCUGCUAUUAAAAGGCACAAGAAAAGGCCAGGCUGUUUUCCCGAUCAGUUGGCAACCCUAUGAGAAACAGGCCACAAGGGAAAAGAGAACUGUGCAUGUUAAUACACGGUCGAGGAAAAGUCUGAAAAGCCAAUUGGAGAGAGAGAGUGGCGGAGCCCAGCUCAGAGAGAAAAGCAGCAUGUAUAUACUGUGGUAGAGAUGAGGUAAGAAAGAAGAGACUGCUGUGGCCUCUCAUCUCGGGUGUCAGAGCUCUCCUCAGGAUAUGGACUUGCAAUGUCCCCGGGAAGGCUUAGCACUACCCAGGCGGGUAACACGGCUGCAGGGCUAUUUUGGAUCCUGGGAUAUGUCAUGGUAAUUAUUAAAGCACCUUCUGUCACC